GUGGGGAAUCUUGCGCAAUGGGCGAAAGCCUGACGCAGCCAUGCCGCGUGAAUGAUGAAGGUCUUAGGAUUGUAAAAUUCUUUCACCGGGGACGAUAAUGACGGUACCCGGAGAAGAAGCUCCGGCUAACUUCGUGCCAGCAGCCGCGGUAAUACGAAGGGGGCUAGCGUUGCUCGGAAUUACUGGGCGUAAAGGGCGCGUAGGCGGACAGGUUAGUCAGAGGUGAAAGCACAGGGAUCAACCUUGGAAUUGCCUUUGAUAAUGGCUGUCUUGAGUUUGGGAGAGGUGAGUGGAACUACGAGUGUAGAGGUGAAAUUCGUAGAUAUUCGGAAGAACACCAGUGGCGAAGGCGACUCACGGGCCCAAUACUGACGCUGAGGCGCGAAAGCGUGGGGAGCAAACAGGAUUAGAUACCCCGGUAGUCC
rnacentral:rRNA from 1 species